rnacentral:rRNA from 1 species
GAUGAACGCUAGCUACAGGCUUAACACAUGCAAGUCGAGGGGCAGCGCAGUGUAGUAAUACAUGGGCGGCGACCGGCGCACGGGUGCGUAACGCGUAUCCAACCUUCCCGUUACUCAGGGAUAGCCUUCCGAAAGGGAGAUUAAUACCUGAUGGUGUUCAAAUUCCGCAUGUUAUUUGAACUAAAGAUUUAUCGGUAGCGGAUGGGGAUGCGUGACAUUAGAUAGUAGGCGGGGUAACGGCCCACCUAGUCUACGAUGUCUAGGGGUUCUGGGAGGAAGGUCCCCACACUGGAACUGAGACACGGUCCAGACUCCUACGGGAGGCAGCAGUGAGGAAUAUUGGUCAAUGGUCGGAAGACUGAACCAGCCAAGUAGCGUGAAGGAUGAAGGUUCUAUGGAUUGUAAACUUCUUUUAUACGGGAAUAAAACCACCUACGUGUAGGUGCUUGUAUGUACCGUAUGAAUAAGCAUCGGCUAACUCCGUGCCAGCAGCCGCCGUAACAC